AGGUCAUGAUGUGGACACUUUCUUAGCAAGUCAUUCAAACACUCCCACGCUUCAUGUAGGGGUUCUCUAUCUCGUUGAGUAAACUCACAAAUUAAGGUUCUUAUUGAAUUA